rnacentral:rRNA from 1 species
UACAGAGGGUGCAAGCGUUAAUCGGAAUUACUGGGCGUAAAGGGUGCGUAGGCGGGUCUUUAAGUCAGGGGUGAAAUCCUGGAGCUCAACUCCAGAACUGCCUUUGAUACUGAGGAUCUUGAGUUCGGGAGAGGUGAGUGGAACUGCGAGUGUAGAGGUGAAAUUCGUAGAUAUUCGCAAGAACACCAGUGGCGAAGGCGGCUCACUGGCCCGAUACUGACGCUGAGGCACGAAAGCGUGGGGAGCGAACAGG